rnacentral:lncRNA from 1 species
GAGAAGGGAGAAUGAUUCUGUAACACCCCUCACUCGUAUUCAUUGUUGGAAUAGGGUUACGGAGCAUUACCUAACUUAUAACACAAUUAAACAUACAUUUCUCAUAUAUUUUUCCAAUUCAAAUAUAAAACAUGUACAUACAUUCAUAAUGUCCCUAAUACGGGCCUACAAGGCCCAAAACAUGCAUUCAGGGUGGUUC